CCUACGGGUGGCAGCAGUGAGGAAUAUUGGUCAAUGGGCGGGAGCCUGAACCAGCCAAGCCGCGUGAGGGAAGAAGGUACAGCGUAUCGUAAACCUCUUUUGCCAGGGAACAAAGGCGGGGACUAGUCCACGGAUGAGGGUACCUGAAGAAAAAGCAUCGGCUAACUCUGUGCCAGCAGCCGCGGUAAUACGGAGGAUGCGAGCGUUAUCCGGAUUUAUUGGGUGUAAGGGGUGCGCAGGCGGCGUGCAAAGUCAGAGGUAAAAGCCAUGGGCUAAACCCCGGCGAGCCGUUGAAACUGGGGGGCUGGAGUUGGGGAGAGGUACGCGGAAUGCGCGGUGUAGCGGUGAAAUGCGUAGAUAUCGCGCAGAACCCCGAUUGCGAAGGCGGCGUACCGGCUCCACACUGACGCUGAGGCACGAAAGCGUGGGUAUCGAACAGGAUUAGAUACCCCUGUAGUC
rnacentral:rRNA from 1 species